AGCGAACGCUGGCGGCAGGCUUAACACAUGCAAGUCGAGCGGACCUUUCGGGGUCAGCGGCGGACGGGUGAGUAACGCGUGGGAACGUGCCUUCCGGUUCGGAAUAACCCUGGGAAAAUAGGGCUAAUACCGGAUACGCCCUUAUGGGGAAAGGUUUACUGCCGGAAGAUCGGCCCGCGUCUGAUUAGCUAGUUGGUGGGGUAACGGCCUACCAAGGCGACGAUCAGUAGCUGGUCUGAGAGGAUGAUCAGCCACACUGGGACUGAGACACGGCCCAGACUCCUACGGGAGGCAGCAGUGGGGAAUAUUGGACAAUGGGCGCAAGCCUGAUCCAGCCAUGCCGCGUGAGUGAUGAAGGCCUUAGGGUUGUAAAGCUCCUUUAUCCGGGACGAUAAUGACGGUACCGGAGGAAUAAGCCCCGGCUAACUUCGUG
rnacentral:rRNA from 1 species